AAAAUUUAAGUGAAAUUUAGCAAAAGAAUUGUUAGCUUUUAUACAUCACAUGUUAAUAAGUAUAAUUUUAUAGAAAAUCUGAAUUGAGACAUCACGAUUUUUACCCAUAUGUAUUUUUUAUCAUCAUGAAAUUAUCCUCUAUAUUUGCACCGCCCUCUGCCUUCACAAUCUCUGUCGUGAAUCGUUAUCCUGAGAGACAGUUGCGCACUAAACCACGCUAAUGUACCGCCUCCGCAAUUCUCUUCAAGGAAAAGGUCGGCCAGUUUGCUCCGGAAAAUGGUAACCACCAGUUCACAUGGCCACGACUUUAAUUUCCAGUUCCUCUUGUGAUUUGGCUCAAAUUCAUCGCGAACAAGAGAAUGCUCAGAUUCGAGGGAGUCAAUUCAUAACUUUAACCCAGGAAAAGAAAAAGGCCUAUGUCAAGGCCUUAUACUAAUGAAGUAGCUUAAAAAGCCUUUUUGGAAUUUGCUAUCAACGACCUCAUUUGGUCGUGAUCAUUAGUGAAUUGGUCCUUCUCAAUCCAUUAUCACCUAUUAUUUUCCAGGUUUUUAUAUGCACCUUGCUGUUGGUGCAAUUAUUUAACUACUGUUAAUGAAAAAUAUGUGCUAGUCUAUGACAUUCUACAUUUUGGAUGCUGUAUAUCUGCUGAUGCAAUUAUUAUGCUCCUAAGUUGUCAUACAAAAACAUGCCAAGAACUGGAACUUAUAGUUUGAUGCAAGAUCCAGAUUUUUUCCUUUAUUUAUUAAGAUUUGAAAAUAAUUAUUUGAGCAUAUGUAAACAUCAGUUAUUUAUCAUUAUCAUGAAACGACUUUUGUGGUGCUUCAAAGUUACACGAUCUUACUAUCAGAUAAUUUCUUGCUGGAGGAACCUUUGUUUGUACGCUAAUAGUUAAUAUUAAAAUUCUUUAAUACUACAAAACGCGAAGAUAUGACUUUGUGACCUAUUGAAGUGGCAAUCUGAAGGGAGAAAAACUGUUCAUUACUUUAUUGAUGCUAUAUAAAAUAUGAGCAUUAUAGAGAAGCAACUUUCUUCAUUUGUAUGAAAAAUUUGAUAUAGAUGAACCAUUAAAAAUAGAAGGAAAAAAAAGGUCGAAUGUGUACAUGUAGAUGCACUUCUAGAUUAGACUAUUUGACAUGUUCAAUAACGGGUAUUUAAAUGCUUAUUUGAAAUAAAAUUAGUGACAAGGACAUUGUACCUGUCAUUGCUAACAAAGUUAUUCACCUCUUUAGAAUGAGGACAUUGUACCUGUUGUUGCUAACAAACUUAUUCACCUCUUUAUCUUCGCAUAGCUCAAGACAAAUCUAAGAGUUGUGACUCAUAGUACUUCUAUGGUUAACCCUUGUUCUAAUGCUUAUUCGCUUUAAUUGUUUUGCCUUUCUCAUGUGUAUUGCACCUCAUUUCACAUUGCUUAUUUUGCUCCAUAGGGGUUGUGCCAUGCAGGAAGCCAUAUGAAUUGAAGUCCAUUUCGAACUACCAAUUUUGCAGGGCUAAGAAGUUUCGAUUUGACGUUUUAUUGCAAUAACUUGGAUAACAGUUGGAUUUAAGAUUUGCUUGCUAUCCUUGUCAACCUAAUUUAGUUUAAUAUUUGGCUUUCAUGGGAGGAACUGGGAAUUUUGUACUAACAGGAAAGCCAAACCUUCUAUCUCAUGUCAUCUUCAUUCAACUUUUUGGUAAAGUUAACUUUGUGACCUCCAGCUGAUGAACCUUCAAAUUGCAAAAUGUAAAGAAGGACGCAUUGAAUAUAUCAAAGUUCGUGAUU